UAUGCUGUCGUUGCCAUAAUGGGUCCUCAAAGUAGUGGGAAGAGCACACUUUUGAACAAUCUUUUUUACACAAAUUUCAGGGUCUCAAACCACCAAAGGUAUAUGGAUGGCAAGGUGUGUUGGUAUUGAACCUUGCACCAUUGUAAUGGAUCUCGAG